UCUCUCUCUCUCUCUCUUUCUCACACUCUGCGCGCGGCGCGUGUCGAGACCCUCCAGUCUUUUGGGCGUUCACGCAUCCGUUUCUCAAAUCAGUGGCACUUUACUGGACUAGCUAACUUUUGAAGAUGACAGUAGUUUCUACACUCUCUGACCGCGAAUGAGUUUCCUGUAGCUAAUAUAGACAUGGUUUUCCGUCACUUCAUCACGAUAACUGUUUCUUUUCUUCUCAGCAGCGGGACGGAAGCCACAAGCCCCGUGAAUGUGAGCGUGAAUGUGGAUGCCGUCCCUGUUGCUGGACGUCCCGAGGUUAUCUUGGCAACUUGCACAACUUACAGAACGAAGCCUGCUGCCGAGGUGUCAUGGAAUUUGGGUACUUUGUCUGAUUCUGUGAAGGUGUCAACCAACACUGUGAAACAUCUAGACAGGACGUUCACAGUCACAAGCAGUCUGAUUGCCACUCCAACUGUACAGAUGAAUCAACAACUUGUCCAAUGUGUGAUCAGACAUAGUGCGAUGAAAGAGCAACUGGAAGUUGAUCACAAGAUAAUUGUGCACUGUGAUUCACUCGGGUCACUGGUAAUGCUGGAAAUUCCUUCUCAUCCAGUAUCAACAUUUACAGAUCUUCCCCUUCAGUACUACACUAACUGUAAUCAUUGUCAGUAGGGAUGUCCUUGUUAGAUGAUGGAUCCACCUAAGCUGGUCUUUGUGAAAGCUUUCAAGAAUCACUGUAAUGCUGAGGUGUAUCAGUGUGAGGCAGAUGCCAAUCCUGCAGCUACACACUUCAGCUGGCACAGCACGCACCAGACUAUCCCUAAUGAUGCCAUAAAAACACAAGGAAAUAAACUCUACUUCUUGAAACUGACCUCUGACCUCAAUGGCCUGUAUACCUGUGAGGCUUCAAAUGAGUACGGAACAGGAAUCGGCUCACUCUACUGGAAAAAAGGAGAAAAGACAGAAGACGACCAUUCUGAGUUCUUUAUGCCUGAUGUAAUUUCAUAUUUUCUCAGUUUCAUCAAAGUCCCUUUAGGGAAACUCAGGAAUUAAAGCUGGCAAAAAUUAUAUUAUGCUUCUUAAAUUAAAAUCACACUAAAAUCUGUAUGAAGAAUUUAGAUGCAAAAAAGUUCAGUUUGAAAUUUUUGAAGGCAACAUAGAUGUAUCCUUCGCUGGGGUACUUGUAACUCUAGCCACAUUUACAUGUACACUUUUUUUUGUCAUUCCAAUUCAAAUCAUUCCAGUUGAAAGAUUCGGUGGACUGUUUACAUGUGCUGGUGCUUAGGAUUUUGGGACAUGCUAAGUAGCCUACAGUGACGUCAAAUACAAAUCACCAGAGGAUAAACACCCGUAUUUGCGUUAAUAUUUUUGAUAACUGCUUGCGCUUGCUUAGACUAAACGUUUCUAGUGUUUAUUUGAGCACUCAGUCAUGUGGCCACAACACGAUCACAUACACACUCAGAUAUCAUUAUGUCCGUCUUCUGUCAUACCACACACAGAACCAAUAUAGGUCUCAGCCAGCUGAUAAUUAUAUCAUCAUAUCACCCUAAUUUCUUAAUAUUAAAGCAUUAAGGGAAUUAACUGUAGCCUACGACCCUUUGUAAUGCUGCUUUGAAAUAAUUUGUAUUCUGAUACUAAAAAGUUUUACUGUACUUAAAUAGAACAAAUACACAAUUUCUCACAAAGUGUUGCUGAACAAUGAAUCAAAGGGGAAGUCUUUUAGGGGAAGACUUUUAGGGGAAGUCAUGGCCUAAUGGUUAGAGAGUUUGACUCCUAACCCUAGGGUUGUGAGUUCGAGCCUCGGGCCUUCAAUACCACGACUAAGGUGCCCUUGAGGUAGGCACCGAACCCCCAACU